rnacentral:rRNA from 1 species
UGAGGAAUAUUGGUCAAUGGGCGAGAGCCUGAACCAGCCAAGUAGCGUGCAGGAUGACGGCCCUAUGGGUUGUAAACUGCUUUUAUAUGGGAAUAAAGUGAGGGACGUGUCCCUUAUUGCACGUACCAUAUGAAUAAGGACCGGUUAAUUUCGUGCCAGCAGCCGCGGUAAUCAGGAAUGUUCGGGCGUUAUCCGGAUUUAUUGGGUUUAAAGGGAGCGUAGGUCGUUUGGUCAGCGUGUUGUGAAAUGUAGGAGCUCAACUUCUAGAUUGCAGAGCGAUCUGUCAGACUUGAGUGCGCACAACGUAGGCGGGAUUCAUGGUGUAGCGGGGAAAUGCUUAGAUAUAAUGAAGAACUACGAUUGCGAAGGCAGCUGACGGGAGCGCAACAGACGCUGAAGCUCGUAGGAGCGGGUAUCGAACAGG